rnacentral:rRNA from 1 species
GGGAACGUACCUUUUGGUUCGGAACAACACAGGGAAACUUGCGCUAAUACCGGAUAAGCCCUUACGGGGAAAGAUUUAUCGCCGAAAGAUCGGCCCGCGUCUGAUUAGCUAGUUGGUAGGGUAACGGCCUACCAAGGCGACGAUCAGUAGCUGGUCUGAGAGGAUGAUCAGCCACAUUGGGACUGAGACACGGCCCAAACUCCUACGGGAGGCAGCAGUGGGGAAUAUUGGACAAUGGGGGCAACCCUGAUCCAGCCAUGCCGCGUGAGUGAUGAAGGCCCUAGGGUUGUAAAGCUCUUUUGUGCGGGAAGAUAAUGACGGUACCGCAAGAAUAAGCCCCGGCUAACUUCGUGCCAGCAGCCGCGGUAAUACGAAGGGGGCUAGCGUUGCUCGGAAUCACUGGGCGUAAAGGGUGCGUAGGCGGGUCUUUAAGUCAGGGGUGAAAUCCUGGAGCUCAACUCCAGAACUGCCUUUGAUACUGAAGAUCUUGAGUUCGGGAGAGGUGAGUGGAACUGCGAGU